GAUGAACGCUGGCGGCGUGCCUAAUACAUGCAAGUCGAGCGAACAGACGAGGAGCUUGCUCCUCUGACGUUAGCGGCGGACGGGUGAGUAACACGUGGAUAACCUACCUAUAAGACUGGGAUAACCUCGGGAAACCGGAGCUAAUACCGGAUAAUAUAUUGAACCGCAUGGUUCAAUAGUGAAAGACGGUUUUGCUGUCACUUAUAGAUGGAUCCGCGCCGCAUUAGCUAGUUGGUAAGGUAACGGCUUACCAAGGCAACGAUGCGUAGCCGACCUGAGAGGGGGAUCGGCCACACUGGAACUGAGACACGGUCCAGACUCCCACGGGAGGCAGCAGUAGGGAAUCUUCCGCAAUGGGCGGAAGCCUGACGGAGCAACCCCGCGUGAGUGAUGAAGGUCUUCGGAUCGUAAAACUCUGUUAUUAGGGAAGAACAAAUGUGUAAGUAACUAUGCACGUCUUGACGGUACCUAAUCAGAAAGCCACGGCUAACUACGUG
rnacentral:rRNA from 1 species